GUGCCAGCAGCCGCGGUAAGACGAACCGUGCAACCGUUGUUCGGAAUCACUGGGCUUAAAGGGCGCGUAGGCGGGCGGGCAAGUCGGAGGUGAAAGCCCACAGCUCAACUGUGGAAGUGCCUUCGAUACUGCCGGUCUAGAGGGAGGUAGGGGCGUGCGGAACUUCCGGUGGAGCGGUGAAAUGCGUAGAUAUCGGAAGGAACACCGGUGGCGAAAGCGGCGCGCUGGAUCUCUACUGACGCUGAGGCGCGAAAGCUAGGGGAGCAAACGGGAUUAGAUACCCCCGUAGUCC
rnacentral:rRNA from 1 species